rnacentral:rRNA from 1 species
UACGGAGGGGGCUAGCGUUAUUCGGAAUUACUGGGCGUAAAGCGCACGUAGGCGGAUUUGUAAGUCAGGGGUGAAAUCCCGGGGCUCAACCUCGGAACUGCCUUUGAUACUGCAAAUCUCGAGUCCGGAAGAGGUGAGUGGAAUUCCUAGUGUAGAGGUGAAAUUCGUAGAUAUUGGGAAGAACACCAGUGGCGAAGGCGGCCACCUGGCUUGGUAUUGACGCUGAGGCGCGAAAGCGUGGGGAGCAAACAGG